rnacentral:rRNA from 1 species
AGUGAACGCUGGCGGUAGGCCUAACACAUGCAAGUCGAACGGCAGCACAGUAAGAGCUUGCUCUUACGGGUGGCGAGUGGCGGACGGGUGAGGAAUACAUCGGAAUCUACUUUUUCGUGGGGGAUAACGUAGGGAAACUUACGCUAAUACAGCAUACGACCUACGGGUGAAAGCAGGGGAUCUUCGGACCUUGCGGGAUUGAAUGCGCCGAUGUCGGAUUAGCUAGUUGGCGGGGUAAAGGCCCACGAAGGCGACGAUCCGUAGCUGGUCUGAGAGGAUGAUCGGCCACACUGGAACUGAGACACGGUCCAUACUCCUACGGGAGGCAGCAGUGGGGAAUAUUGGACAAUGGGCGCAAGCCUUAUCCAGCCAUACCGCGUGGGUGAAGAAGGCCUUCGGGUUGUAAAGCCCUUUUGUUUGGAAAGAAAAGCAGCAGGUUAAUACCCCGCUGUUCUGACGGUACCCAAAGAAUAAGCACCGGCUAACUUCGUG